ACAGCAGUAGCAAUACUGUGGGUGGCGAGUGGCGGACGGGUGAGGAAUACGUCGGAAUCUGCCCAGUCGUGGGGGGAUAACUAGCCGAAAGGUUAGCUAAUACCGCAUACGACCGAGAGGUGAAAGCGGGGGACCGCAAGGCCUCGCGCGAUUGGAUGAGCCGACGUCGGAUUAGCUAGUUGGCGGGGUAAAGGCCCACCAAGGCGACGAUCCGUAGCUGGUCUGAGAGGAUGAUCAGCCACACUGGAACUGAGACACGGUCCAGACUCCUACGGGAGGCAGCAGUGGGGAAUAUUGGACAAUGGGCGCAAGCCUGAUCCAGCAAUGCCGCGUGUGUGAAGAAGGCCUUCGGGUUGUAAAGCACUUUUAUCAGGAACGAAAAGCGUUGGAUUAAUACUCUGACGUGCUGACGGUACCUGAGGAAUAAGCACCGGCUAACUUCGUG
rnacentral:rRNA from 1 species